AAAAAUAAAAUAAAGCAGGUAAAUCUUGAAUUUACGGUGGCGCAUGAGUACGUCACCGGAGUUGUUAGCUCUCAGCAGUCUGCAAUUGCAGCUUGUGAUCAGAACUGUUGCGCUCUAUCUUUUAUCGUCAUUAUUCUCAUUCAGAGUUUGCUUUGUGUACAAUUCACCGAGGGCACGAGCAAAGAAUAGGAAUCUAGGAGGGCCCAGGGAAGCACUUUAAAACGGUACCUGUGAGCUACGAUAGUUACUAGGCAGCAAAAGUGCGUCGCAUGCCUCAGUUUCAGGCUGUUUCUCAUCAGGGAGUGCGUGUGCGCGCGCGCGUGCUGGUAAGGGUAGAUCCUGGGAGGUUAGUUGAUCGAAAAGUAGAUCUUCGAUCCAAAAGGUUUGAGCACCCCUGCUGUA